rnacentral:rRNA from 1 species
GCUUGGGAAUAUGCCUUUAGGUGGGGGACAACAGUUGGAAACGACUGCUAAUACCGCAUAAUGUCUACGGACCAAAGUGGGGGACCUUCGGGCCUCACGCCUAAAGAUUAGCCCAAGUGGGAUUAGCUAGUUGGUUGAGGUAAAGGCUCACCAAGGCAACGAUCCCUAGCUGGUUUGAGAGGAUGAUCAGCCACACUGGAACUGAGACACGGCCCAGACUCCUACGGGAGGCAGCAGUGGGGAAUCUUGCACAAUGGAGGAAACUCUGAUGCGGCGAUGCCGCGUGAGUGAAGAAGGCCU